rnacentral:lncRNA from 1 species
GGUCCCGGGGCGUGACAACAGGGUUACAUGUUAAAGUACUACGGGUUCAUGAUACUAGUAGCUUGCAUAUGAAAUUUGAGCUUGAUGUUAUCCAAGAGGAUAUAAUGAUAAAUUCGUGAAUGGACUCAUUAGUUCUGUUGAACAACAAAGAGAUUGAUGUAUUUAUGAUUGAGCUAUGCAACGUUAUAUAGCAAGUAUAAUUGCUAUACUCUGAAAGAUCAGGUAAAGGCUUUUGUUUGCAUAUGCAUUUCUAAUUGUAGAAUGAAUGGCAUAGAGAUCAUGUGAAGAGUAUUUUAUCGCUUGCUUUACUUGCUUGCAUUACCCUGUUAGUUUCUACUUUCACAUGAUAGACUUAUAUUAUGGUAUAUGUUCUAGUAAGUAACUAGAAUUUCAUAUGAUGGUAUAACUUGAAUGAUUAUUCAACUGAAUAUAAUCUAGUAAAUAACUAGAUUUGGAUAUGAUAACAUACUUGUAUAGUCAAGUAGAGAUUUAUAUUGGACUACAGGAUAUGUGCCAUGAGUCUUUGAACAGAACAUUAGUAAACCACUUUCCUUAUGUGUGAGGAGUAGUGAGAGAUUGUGAAUGACUGAUCAGGUAUAGCCUGAUAAAAUCACUAGUGUGAUGUAAAGCCUUAACUUGUCAAGUUAUACUAGUUAUUGGUAGAAUCAUAUCAACAAGUUGUUGAUAGUGACUUAUGAUUGGGUACUACAGUGCCGACCUUGGGUCGAGUUGAGAUAUUUGUACCCUGGACUAUAGCUUGCAUGCCAUUACGCUCUUUCGUACAUGCUUGCGGGGGUUGCGCCCCCCAAGCCCCGCGUUCCGGAGUGGCUUGAGUUGAGAUACCAUGUCAGGGACAUGAUGCUAUUGUGAGAUUGGUACAAUGGACUACGGCUAGCAUGCCAUUGUGCGCGUUCGCACACGCUUGCGGGGUCGCUCCCCCCCAAGCCAGCACUCCCGAACAGCUUAGCGACAGAUACUCGCAAAUGUACGAAGUAAGCGCCGAAGUGGAAUGCCGUGGGGAGUGUACACUACCACGGGGCCAUUAGGCACGGCGCGGCUUGAACUUACCUUGUGUAAGUCUGUUGGAAAUUGGGUUAUGUCAAGUACUUUAACUUUAGCUGGACAUAGUAGUAAAGUUACUUUAUGUCUUUGGUUAAGUGAACUUAUUGAUGAACAUACUAGAAAGUUGACAUCUAAAGUGAGCUUAGUGAUGAAUAACUUAGAAGUUCACAUCAUGAUUGGUUAGCAACAUAAUGAAUGACAUUAUGUUUCUUUCUUGCUAAUGAAAAAGGUAAUUACAGGAUAUCAUCUGUAAUUUCAGUAAAGUGAAUUAUCUUGCAUACCAUCUGGUAUAUGUUUGGUUAAAUUGUCAAGUAAUAUGAUUGAUAAAAUCCAUCAUGAUAACUGAUACCUGCAAUCUAUUGAUGUUUAUUUAUUGUUGAGCAAAUAGCAUGAGUAGUUACUUUCAUAUCUGUUGCAUGUAAUUGCUUAUUGCAUUAUCUGCAUUUACUUACUUAUUUAUUGCUAUCUACUCAUGCCACAGUUGACCGAGUGGUGUACUUCGCCACUCUUGGCGGCUUACCCACUGGGAAUUAUUGUUUAAUAGUUCUCACGCCCUUUUUGUUGUUGUUUUUACAGAGCCUUCCACCGCGGGAAAGGCUAGGGUUCUUGGCGAGGAGUCUGCGGCUAGCUAGAGCCCUUUUGGACGUGUACUAGACGACCUCCUUCAGUUUAUGUAGUCUAGUACAGAGAUGUAUAUUAAACUAUUGUAGAUUGUACUUUGUUCUUAUUUACUAUAAUAAGGUUUUGGAUUGUUUAAGUUUAAACUUUUAAGUUUUUUGCUCUGAUUACCUAGUUAGAGUCGAAAUCUUUUAUUAUACUAUUUGUAGACGCCUAGUGUAUACUUGAGUUGUGGUGUACACGGCGAGUCUGUGCACGCGACUGGUGAGCUUCCGCUGAAAUCCAGGGCGUGACAUAGGAUCUUUCACUUUCCUUUUUCACAUGGUUCUAUAUCACUACAAUGAUCUUAAGCAGAUAAUUGUUAUAACCAACACAUGUUGUUCAUUACCCUACGUGCAAGAAUGCUAUAAUACCAAUAUGCUUAAAUGAAAGGACAUAGACAUAGAAAGAGAUCCGGUGUUUCCGGAUAGCACCCCCCACCUUUAUAUGUCACAAGGAUGCCGUGGUUCAGAUUUCACGAUUUUUAGACUUGUUCGCCGCUAGCUACGACGAUCUGUACUAUUUCUGCCUCUUUUUCCAAUAUCUUCGCGCAGGCUCGUCGUAUCGCCGAACCGAGCGCACCGAUGCGUUCGUAGACCUACCAAUUAGGAUAAAAUGAGAUCAAAUCCAAGUUUGAACCUCAAAAUUACAAAAUCCUAAUUAUAGGUCCUUGUAAAAAGUCAUCUUUCCCAACCUAGGUCCCUACUCAUGAGAAACUUGGAGAAAAUACUCUAAUCCAUCUCCUAGAAGUAUACUAGAAGGAAAAACUCAAACCCUAGCUCAAAUCCAUGAGAACUCACCUUUGGAGUCCAAAGCUUCCCUUCAAAAGCCUUGCUCUUCACCUUGGAAGGCUUCUUCUCCAAGCUUUUCUCCUCCAAAUCCCCUCUUGGUCCAAGCCCUAGAGAGAGAGAGAGAGAGAGGAGAGGUUUUUAGAGAGAGAGAGGGAAAGGUUUGUGUUGAGGUGUGAGGAAAUAAGAGCUAACCCUAACCCUUAGCUCUAUACAACCAUCUCAUGCAACAUUUGCACUUAAACCCCUCUCAAUUUCAUAUUUGCAACUAGACCUUACUGGGCAUUUUCGGGCUCGGGGACUAGUCUCUCCCCUUCAGGGACCGGUUCCCGAGAGCUGUCCUGCAACCUGCGCAGAAGGGGACCGGUCUCUCCCCGAUGAAACCGGUCUUCGGGAACCGGUCUGUCACCUAGGGACCGGUUCCCGAGAGCUCAAUUUCCAGGACUUAGCCGAUUUUUCUCUCUGCUUGACUGAUCAACGUUCGGGAACCGGUCUCUCAUCCAAGGGACCGGUCCCCGAGAGUAAAAAUUCUAGAAAUUUUCCAGAACUACAGUUUCACUCUCUCGGGUCCCUUUAUACUUCAUACAUAGGCUCCAAUGCACUUUUAGCCUAUAGUAACUCAUUCCUUUCCGCGUUCCACUCAUUUUGACAGAACUCGGCUCAACCUACGGGGAAGUGAUAUGUUACAGUAUAUCUAACUAUUACAACCAUUCAACUUUACAUCAUUUGAUUACAUUACAUUUUCAUCUUCCAAAAUACAUCAUGGCUUUCCAAUAUCUAUCCAAAAUACACAUGGUAUCUAGUACACGAGGGUACUCUAAUGCAUAAUGGAAAGCUACUAACUAACUCACUUAGGGCGCUAUGCCCUUGCCGCGAUCCUCGCUCGGCUUGCCUCUGUGUGUUCCUGUACCCGAAAAUCACACGGGGUGAGAACUAUACGAAUAUAGUUCCUAGUGGGUUCGGCCGCCGACGCCACCGGUUUUCCCACUAGAUCUAAGCUGGCACAGAUAGAGAGAUAGAUAGAUAUAUAGAAAAUGAACUGCAACUACUCUAUCAUGCCAUCAAUGAUAAUAAUGCAUGCAACAACUACUAUCAUGCUAGUAUCAUGUCAAGAGUAUAUAAAGAUGCAUAGCAAUGUAAUCUACAACAUACACUAUGUCUACUCAAGGUAAUAAUGCAAGUCUACUAUGCAUUUCUUGUUUAUUACCCAAUCUACUUGGUUGACCCGUAGGUUAACCCUCGACUCACUCUCAAUCUCAUAGGUGAGGAGAAGCUGCAGUCGCACACCGAGACCGUCUGCGGGACAACUACGUCUGCCCCUAGUGAAGUACUCCGGAGACUCAUGCCUCGGUGGAGCGACCACCGACAAGCAAAACAGACUAGUGAGUAUGAUCCAAUCCUCACAAGAGGAUACCCUGUCUACUAGGGUCAAUGUGCCUCUGCUGCACAGUCAUGAUAUAUAAUCAAGGUUGGGACCUCUACUAUCCCUAGGUUCAUGUCAAGUUUACUACACUAGACUCGAUGCCACUCAUUCAGUCAUUGUAGUAAAUGUCUCGAUUAUUCUACAUGCCACUCGUUCAUGUCAUAGUGCUUCUACCACACUAGUUCAAUGCCGCUCUACUAGGCUAAGUCCAAGUUCGGCUCUUUAUGCCAUUAUAGGAUUCUCAUGUCACAAGACCCAAUCCUCAUGCUACCCUAGUCUAGGUGUUCAACUCAUAGGUUACACUAGUAAGAAGCAUGCAAGGAAAGGAAAUAAACAUUUAUUAAUCCUAUAAUGCAAUAUGAUCAACAUGUAUAUAACUUAGACAUAAAGAGAAACCCCGAUGUUUCGGAGCGACACCCCCCACCUUUUGUGUAUACGGAGGCUCUAGAAAUGCGCUUCGGCGUUCUUUACGAUGAAGCCUUGGUUUUCUUGGUCCAAAUGAUGCUCAACAGGCCUUAUUUUGCCGAUAGCUCUUGACCCGCUUGACGAAUCGUAAUUCCGACUUUGCCCCCCCGUUUCGUUACCUAGCAAUUAGAUUUUUAUGGUCUCAAAUAAGAUCAAUCCUCUACUUUUCCAAAAACCCCAUUUUUGGUGCCCUAGGGUUAGCAUCAAGCUAAACCCAUCUCAAAAUCCUAGAUUCUAGCUCCAAUCUUACCAUUCAUGGUACUAGGGAUCCAUUUGAUCCCAUCCAAAGAGCUAAAACCCAAAAAACCCUAAAUUUCACAAGCUAGGGUUAGAAGCUUACCUCUAGGUUAGCUCAAAAGAGAGAAGAGAGGAAGAGGGAGAGGUCCAAAGCCUUCCUUUUCUUGAUCUCCUUCUUCUUCUCCUUCAUUUUCUUCAUUCUUUUCCUUCUCUUUUCUUCUUCUUCUUCUUUUUCUUCUUCUCUUCUAGAGAAUGAGAGCAAGAGAGUGUGAGUGAGGGAGAGAGGGAAAUGAGGGGCUGAGGGAGAGAGAGGGACCACAAGCCCUCAUAUUGUAACAAUAUCCAACUGGCCCCCUCAACUUUUCACUCUGUGCAUUGCCCUUACUGGGCGUUCUGCGCGCGGAGGGACCGGUCUCCCCGACUUGGGACCGGUCCCCAAGAGCUUCAGCUCGGGUCACGCGUUCGGGUACCGGUCUCUUCCAGAGAGACCGGUCCUCGGAAGACCGGUUCCUUCCUGAGAGACCGAUUCCUGAGAGCUGUGAUUUCAGGACUUAGCCAAUUUUCUGGCUUUCUUGCUGGGUUCACGUUCGGGGACUGGUCCCUCCCUGCCAGGGACCGGUCGCCUCAAGCAACCCCGCAACACCAGCCGAUGGGACCGGUCCCUCCCUGCCAGGGACCGGUCCCCGAGAGCAGUUUUGCUCCAGUGCAGGUUUUGCACUAUUUGCCCUUGUGGACUCGUUUUCAAUGCACUUUUGGUGAUUUUGACAUUUUUGGCUUUUUCCAAAGUACACCAACACGACCCUUGGUCGAUUCGGGAUGAAGUCUAAUCCUCGUAUUUCGAGAAUUCACUUCCUCACACACAAUGACAUUCAACCUUAGAGCUAAGGGUCAUUUGUGCAUAUUUUCUUAGGGUUAAGGAACAGAUUGAACUGAAUAUCCUUAGAGUUAAGGAUUGAUCAUACUCGCUAUAAGUCCUUGCUCGAGGGCGGUCGCUCCCCCUCGGGCGAUGCGCUCCGGAGUUUGUCAUCACUGAGUUGAGUUACUCAGAGGACGGUUGUCACGCCCCGCGACCGCCCACCUAUUUGGCCGGGUCGCGACGCCGCCGACAGAUCGCCGAACGGACAGGGUUUUCCCUGUACUGCGGACAGAGUCUCCCCUGUACGUUCAAGGCAUAGCAAUCAAUACAAUGUGCGAAGUUCCAACCAGGAACACAUUUCAAUCAAGGAUUGCAUAAUGGAAGGUAUCAAACAACAUAAACACAUCCUAUAUUAUUACAUUCAUUCAUAUUCAUACAUUUUUACAUCCCAAAUACUUAUUACAUUUAACUUCCAAAUACAAUCCGAUUUAAUAUAAUUAUUACAACUUGAUUCUUUCAUUCUUUACAUCCCUAAGUAAGGCCGACUUAGGGUACCACUAUCUCUGGUCUCGGUGGUAGGGCGCUAACUAUGGAGCUACGCCCUCGCCUCGCGCCGCCGCGCCGCUCACGUGCGAACCUGUAAAAACCCCAAAACCACGUGGGGUGAGAACCAACUCCAUGGUUCCCAGUGGGUACGGCCACCCAAGGGAAAAGCUCGACCAAUAGGUCCAAGGGAGGCAACUGCAAGUUAGUUCAAUAAACAGAUAGAUAUAUAUCUUUAUUAUGCAACUAAUAAAACCAUGCAUUGCCUCACGAAUGCAAUAAUGCAAUGCUAUAUGCAAAUCAUGCAAUAAUGCAACUAUGCAACCAACUAGUAGUUCAUUCGACACUACUUUCAAUUCUGCUAACCAUAGCUCAUCCAUUCGAUAUCUAAGGUUUCCUCUAUCUUAGAUUCUUGUCAAUCACCGUUUUAAUCAUAAAGUUUCAUCUACCUUUACAAGGCUAACCACCCGACUCGGUCUUGAGUCAAUCGUCUGCGGAGUACCGCACUAGAACCAGGCUCGAGGCGAUGGACGUCUCACAUACACCUCAGCCCUAGAUCCUCUCGACUAGGAUACCAAAUCCAUAACUCAUAAUGCAUACUUGUUGUACACUCAUUUGGCUAUGACCCAAUCUUACCGGUUAACCAUGUUAACCCCAAUAACUCACAACCAAAUCCCUUAAUAACGGGGGACUCGAACCUCCCUAGGGACCGUCAACUGGUGGGACUUUACCACGCCCAGUGGUGACCAACUCCGGAGCGCACCGCCCGAGGGGGAGCUACCUCCCUCAAGCCAAGACUUAUCGUGAGUAUCGAUCCAAUCCUCAACUUGAGGAUUCAUAGCCACUCGUCACAAUGCCAAUGUCAUGAUAGGUCUCUACCUAUUUAAUCAUGCCACUCUCUAUGUCAACUUGGACCAAUGUCAAUAUGGUUAAACUAUGUUUAACAAUCACUUUCUUGAUGCCAAUCAUGUCUCUAUUGUCAUUGUCACCCUUGUUUACUAAUGUUCAAGUCCAACUCUCACAUUUACACAAUAAUAGGGUCCUAACAUACAUGAAUGACACCAGAAUAUAUAUGAUCAAUCACCACAAGUGUUUGCUAGGUUCAAGAUGCUAGGUUUAAUGCCACUCGAUCUAAUAUAUAUAUAGAUUGUCCACUAUGUUCCACAACAUGGCAAUAUGUCAUCAAGUAUGUUUUUCUAUUUAACAUAAUCCACAAUAUGUAAAUUCAUAAUAUAUCAUCAUGCACAUAUACCACUAGCAUCACAUGAUUUGUCAACAUACAUAUAGUCAUUAUCCAAAAUAGUCCAUACUUAGCAUCUCAUGCAUUCUUUUAGCACUUAAUUCAUUAUGCAUUACAUUUAGCAUAUUCUACAACAUGUCAUCAUACAUUCCUUUUAUGAUGUUCUUAUAAUGCUAACAUUCAUACGCCCUUUAUAUUAUGCAUUCAAAGCAUUAAUCAUAUGCAUUUAUCUAGCAUUUCUAUAGUAUGUUAACAUGCAUUCUUUUCACAUUCUUAUAUUAUGUCAAUAUGCAUCAAUAUGAAAUCUCAUUUCUUAGACAUAAAGGGCGACCUAGUCGCUUCGGUAAGCACAACCCACCUCAUUUCGCAUUCCGAUUGCUUGUCGACACUUGCAAUCGGCCUCCCGCGGCACCCGGCACCCGGUUUGGCCCGAUCUCUCACGCGACCACCCGAACGGCCUCCAAUUCACGAUCCGAAAAUUAAAGGUCUUCGGUUAUGUGCCACGAUGCUUCAAAUCCAUUUUCAUGAAUUUACGAUAUCGCCUCGGCCCUCCCGGCGGACCCGAAGCCUAAACGUCCAUUUCUUUAAUAACUUUGUAACGGCUCGUCGGAUUGCCGAACCGUCUUCGCCAACGCGUUCGUUUACCUAGCAAUUUGGUUUACGGAGGGUCAAAUGAGAUCAAACCCUCAUAUUUUAAAAAACCCCAUUUUCUAAGCCUAAUAUGAAUUAAUCUCCAAAUAAUCCAAAUUAAAUAGAGCAAACAUGUUUAGAAUGCUCAUUAGAGGCUAUUAGAACACUUAAAACUAAGGAUUAAGCCAAAUCCUAAAAGCUUACCUCAAUGUGAACGCCGCGACGACAACACACCGCUCCAACGGGCGCACGAAAGCUCAAUCCGUCGCCUCCAACGCGUUCGCAAGCAUAUUCUCCACCAACCCCGCGAAUUUGAGCGAGAGAUAUAGAGAAAUGAGAGAGAUCUCUAGAGAGAGAAAGGAGAGUUUCUCUCCUCUCUCCAUGUGUGCGUGAGGUGUGUGUGGGUGUGCACGGCUGAAGGAGGAAGAAGAAGCAUCAUGCUUCUAUUUAAUUACACCCCAACACUAUUCACCUCCAGGCAGCUUAAAAUCUGAUAACUUUCGCCGGAGCUCCCUGAAUGUCCGUUUGAGCUCAAACUUGACAGUCAUGUUCGGUUUUACUUAACUUAACAAGCUGACGAUCACUGGUUCAGUUUCGACCCCGUUUGGUCACUGAAAACUGUACCGAACUGCAAUCUUUAUCAGAUAGCUUUCGGAUUUUAUUUCUCACUCUAUGGGUGUCAGAAAAAUAUGAAACCUUAAAUCUAGCCUCAUAAAAAUAUUUCUGACAUCUCCGCCAAUUUUCAUAAUUUUCUGAGACUGUGCAUUUUCUGCUUAUUUUUCUGUCCCGUCUCCAACAGAAAAUUCUAGAUCUUCUGUUUUAAUUCCGAUUUCAGCACAAGUCACCUCUGACUUAUGUUUUACCUCUAUAAAUCUAAUAAAAAUAGUUUCUCACACUAUUUUUAUUUAUUAUUAUUUUUAUACCAAAAUCUGGUAUAUUACAUUCUCCACCCCUUAAAAAGAAUUUCGUCCGCGAAAUUCAAAACACACCUCAAUUCAGCUCCUCGAGCAAUUGAGGGCACCAAUGCACUUUUUCACUUCGGAAUGGCUUUACACUCCUUGGAACUAUCCAAGAGAACUAUCACGGAGGGUACAAUACCAAACUCAUACAACUUUGUAAGGUGCAUCCCACAAAGUGCAUUACGGUAUCCACCAUUCUUGGUGGAAGCGCAAGUCGAAAUUCAACGACUACACACGCUCCAACCCCACUUGUCAUUUGGCAUGCAAGAACUCUUCUUUGCAUGUACUCUCCCUUCAGGGAAUACAUUCCGAUUCUAUCUCCAACAGUGCUUAAAAGCAACAUCACUGAUGCAUCGCUUCCGCGCGAGUGCUCUAAUUCCGCACUGAUCUUUAGCUCUAACAUGAGAUGGCCCACCUCGGCGCCUCCCAAUUCCAAUCCUCAAAUUCCACGUGGCUUGCUACUAGCUCAAGGUCUCACAAGGAGCACUUCAUCUUCUAAUACCAUAUGCCACGGUCAACAUUGAACUAAUUUCGCAACGAGCUCACACGAACGCUUCAUUCGUGGAUUCGAGUUAGACUCCUCGAUAAGGCUAUCCGCCAAACCGCUCUCUUCGGUCUCCACAGGUGGACCAAAGGCCACCAAUCCUACGUAGGCCUACCGCCUAACCUUUCUCAAUACGCAGCGUCUCUCGCUCGCAAUGCAGACCCAAUCAUCAUUGGGGCGAAAUUCUCACUUGGGAAUUCGCACACACUCCAACCAGGAGCAACUAAGAUCCCAAACCGUUACAGAUUCCCGGGUUGGGUCACACUCGCACUCUCAGUAUACUAUCAAUCGCACUACAUGCUCUAUAGCACAAUACGUACCACUAUCGGCUCCUAUGCACCUAGUGCGAGCCACCAGCCCCACGAGUGAUCCGUGGCACGCUUCACACCUAGCAAUGCUCAGGUGCUACUGCCAACACACUCAUCCGGCUAAACUAAAUCCGCACUCCACGAGUAACUAUACUCGUGUAUCGCACGCCUCUAAAGCGCUCCACACUAUGUCCAGCAUUAGGCAACUCUUGCCUAUGCACACCGGCCACACGAGCAUGGCUCACCUACCUCGAUUCGAGGUACUACUAGGCAAAAGCGCCAGUAGUUGGCAACAAACCGUUCCAUCGGAGCAACAUCCGGAAUACUCGAACCAUUCGAGUGUCCACAAGUGUCACGUCACAACUCUCGCAAUCAGCUAUACAUUGCUCUGCGAGUUAGUCCGUCACUCCCAUCUCUACUGUGAAUCUCAUCAUUAGACCAUCACUAGCAACUCGCUAGUGCCAUCCAGUUCUCUACCUGCACCGGCAGGUGCAACGCUUUCACCACAUAAGCGUGCCCGGGUAUUUACAUUUAUCCGCUCACUUGGACCCUACUAUGCUACUACAUAAAUAGUAGUAAUUAAUUACAUGCUCAAUGCAUGCAAUGCACCAACUUUACAUUAUGCAGAAACACAUAACUGCAUUAAUGGCUCAUACCUGCCAUGACGUUGUCAGCAGCAGGUUCCAUAUCCCGGACAUAGUUCACGAUAGGGAGAAUUCCCGUUCGUACUCUCUAACUGAGCGGUCUCCUUGCCGCAGCUUCCUGAACUUGUCCUGAAGCUUUCUCUUUUCACUGUCGGGGGAAGUAAGUAGAAGAUACCAAUCCCCAAAACUCAUCCCAUGCCAUGGAGGAAUACUAGGCGAUCGGUUCCGCCGAAUGCCUUUCCACCACGCCUUAGCCGACUGUUUCAAACAAUACACGGCUAGGGGUACCCUGUCCCGCUCCAAGGUAGACAGCUCCUCGAAGAGCGUUUCCACGGAGUCAAUCCACGUAUCCACAAUCCACGAAUCGACAUUCUCUCCAUCGAAGAUAGGUGGAUCAAACUUUAUGAAGGUCAUGAGGGCUGCCAAAGCCCGCUCUUUCUCCUUCUUUUCCUUUCCUUUCUUCCUCCUCUUCUUGUCUUCUAGAGAGAGAAAGAGAGAUAUGAGAGGGUGUGUGGGUGAGAAAUGAGAGAAAAGAGCUCUCAUACUCCUCACAUAGCCCCACAUGUUGCAUAAGUGCAAACAAGCCUCUCAACUUUUACUCUUUUACACUGCCCUGACUGGGCCAUUUUCAGGUUCGGGGACCGGUCUCCCCGACGAGGGACCGGUCUCCGAGAGCUCUCCCCGCGGUCAGCAGGGCUCACGCACGAUGCAUCCGGUCUCCCCCGAUGGGACCGGUCUCUUCGGGACCGGUCUCUCCCUGCAGGGACCGGUUCCCGAGAGCUGUCCACCGGGGACUUAGCCGAUUUUUCCUCCCUUUCGCUGUCUGCGCGUGCGGGGACCGGUCUCUCCCACCAGGGACCGGUCCCCGAGAGCAGAAAACCUGCAGUUUGCAGAUUUUGAUUCCCAAAGCUCUCGAAGAUCCCCAGCAACGCACUUUUGCAUUAUUUGACGCCUUCGGCCUUUCCGAAGUGUACCAACCUCGCUCUUUGGUCAAUUUGACCAAGGUUCGAUGUUCGCUUACCGAAGUUUCGGUAUAUUACACCUACAAUUUUUUUUCGGAGUCUCUUAAUUCGCUCCUCCUGGUGUAUAGCAGCCUCCUGCUGCCGCUGCACCACAUCUGCUCGUUGCCUCACCACACCCACAAGUGUGGCCAACCGUUCGCGAAGUUCCAAAUCUCCGCUCGCCUUGGAUUGCUCUGGGACAUCACUUGUCCCACCCCGCGUCGAUCUAAACGAAGAUCGCCUACGCGGUGCCAUCGUUACCUAGAACAUAACAACUCAACUAACUCUCAACCUUCUAGGUCGAGUACGAGACAACUGACAUCAACUCAAAUCGGGCGAAAGUCAUACAAGGGCAUCUAUUCUCAUCACUCGGUUUCAUGUUGUACGCGUCCAACAUGAACACUCUCGGUUGAGAAUAGACAACACCUUGGAUCUACCUCUAAUCUCCUUUUUAGAGGUUUACAACACAACCCAAUCCCUUAACCUUUCGCCAAAAGUCACAAGUCCUCGUCUCUCACGAGCCUUAAUCUCCUAUGGUUUACUAUCCUAGGGUCUCCUAGGUUCAUCUAAACCACUUUCCCAUUCUCUACUUUAUGCUCUGAUACCAUCUUACCUGUCACGCCCCGAGCCCGCCUCUUUGGUCGGAUUCGGGCACGCCAACAGACCGCCGAACGGACAGGGUUUCCCCUGCACGCGGACAGAGUCUCCCCUGUACGUUCAAGGCGUCGCAAUCAAUACAAUUACAAGAGGUUCCAAACAGGAACAAUUUUCAACAACGAUUGCAUAAGGAAGGUAUCAAACAACAUAACACAUCCUAUGUUAUUACAAUCAUUCAUCUCAUCAUUUUACAUCGCAUUUUUCAUUACAUUGAUUCUCAACUUCCAAAUAUACAAUCGAUUUCUAAACAUAAUAUUACAACAUCGAUUCUUUUCUUUUCUUUUCUUAUACCCCUAAGAAGCCGACUCAGGGUGCUGCUAUCUGGUCUCUGUGGUAGGGCGCUAACUACGGAGCUACGCCCUUUCCUCGCGCCGCCGCGCCGCUCGCGUGUGAACCUGUACCCCCAAAAACAACAACACGGGGGUGAGACUAUUGUCCAUAGUCGUCAGUGGGUACAGCCACCCAAGUGAAAAGCUCAACCCACCAGGUCCAAAGGAGGCACUGCAACAUGUUAGUCCAACAGAUAUAUAUAUAUAUAACAUCAUGCAAUACAUGUUCAUGCCUCACAAAUAUGCAAAUUAUGCAACUCUUAGUCAUUCUUUACCAUUAGCCUUUCUUUAGAAUAUGCAAUUCUUUAUCAUUAGCCAUUCUUUAUUCUUUAAUCUUUAUUCUUUAUUCUUUAUUCUUUAUGCUUUAUUCUUUAUGCUUUAUUCUUUGUUCUUUAUCCUUUACUAAGGGCACUCGCGCCUUAGGCUCAUCAUACACAUUUGCCAUUCUUUAUAACAUUAACAAGUCUUUCUCAAUUAUCACUCUUUCCUAAGGUUACAUUUACCUUAGCCAACUAUGCCACUCGACUCGGUCUUGAGUCAAUUCAUAAUGAAUACAAGAUCCACUUUCCAAUUCAUGAUUCCUUUUUGUUCUUUGUUCUUUAAUCUCACGGCUAACCCGGGGGUUUCGCCACAUUAACUUGCUUCACAUUAAGUCCAUCAUCGCAGGAACUCACCAGCUAGGACCGUCCUUACGGGUCUACUCCAACCCGGAUGCCAAACUCCGGAGCGCAUCGCCCGAGGGGGAGCGACCGCCCUCGAGCACGGAACUCAUAGCAAGUAUGAUCAAUCCUUAACUCUAAGGAUAUGUAGUUGGAUCAUGGUUUUACACUAACUCUAGUGUUCUUUACAUCACAUUAGUUGCUAACUCUAGCAAUCAUUAUUCUUUAUACCACAAUUAUCAAUUACUUUAGUAAUUAUCAUUCUUGAUACCACACUUGUUCUUUUAUUGCCACACACUAACUCUAGUGUUCUUUAUGUCACAUUGGUUGCUAACUUUAGCCAUUAUCAUUGUUCUUUACACUUUGCUUGUUCUUUAUGCCACAUUACUUUACAUCGCCUCUAGCCAUUAUCAUUAUUCUUUACAUCACAUUGCUUUGCCUUGUCUCAAGCCAUUAUCAUUAGGUUCUCACAUUACAUCUCAUGCAUACACAUAGAUUAUUUAGAUUCUUAAUCAUUCUAAUAAGCACGUGUACUCACAUCAUGCAACAUUACAUUAUUAUCAUCACAUUGUUUUACAUUAUCUUUAGCCAUUAUCAUUGUUCUUUACAUCACAUUUAUUCUUUGAUGUCCCACACUAACUCUAGUGUCCACUUUACCAUUUCGAAUGCCACUCGAUCUAUGUUCAACAUGCAUAUAUUUUGUCAUCCAUUGGUAGUCAUUACUUAGCAUUUUAUGCAUUCGUUAACAUUUACUACAUGCAUUCUCGGUUAGUACAAAUCUCAUACUUUCAUUUGACAUCUAUUUAGCAUUUCUAUAAUAUGCACAUAUAAAUUAACAUCAACUCAUGCAUUCAUUUGGCAUCUAUCUUUAUCAUGCAUUCUUAAUUAGCAUACUUUAUCAUGCAUUCUCAAAUAGCAUACUUUAAUCUUUAUCAUGCAUUCUUAAAUAGCAUACUUUAUCAUGCGUCAAUAGUAAACAUACUACACUUUAGCAUGGAAAGCGACCUAAUCGCUUCGGUGAGCACAACCCACCUCAUUUCGCAUUCCGAUUGCUUGUCGACACUUGCAAUCGGCCUCCCGCGGCACCCGUAACCCGGUUUGGCCCGAUCUCUCACGCGACCACCCGAACGGCCUCCAAUUCACGAUCCGAAAAUUAAAGGUCUUCGGUUAUGUGCCACGAAGCUUCAAAUCCAUUUUCAUGAAUUUACGAUAUCGCCUCGGCCCUCCCGGCGGACCCGAAGCCUAAACGUCCGUUUCUUUAAUAACUUCGCAACGGCUCGUCGGAUUGCCGAACCGUCUUCGCCAACGCGUUCGUUUACCUAGCAAUUAGGUUUAUAUAGGGUCAAUUUAGAUCAAACCCUUACAUUUUACAAAACCCCAUUCGGAGCCCUAAUAUGCUAUUAACCUCAAAAUAAUCCAAAAUUAAAUGGAUCAACAUGCUAACAAAGCUCAUUAGAGGCUAUUAGAAUACUUAAAGCUAAGGAUUAAGCCAAAUCCUAAAAGCUUACCUCAAUGUGAACGCCGCGACGACAACACACCGCUCCAACGGGCGCACGAAAGCUCAAUCCGUCGCCUCCAACGCGUUCGCAAGCAUAUUCUCCACCAACCCCGCGAAUUUGAGCGAGAGAUAUAGAGAAAUGAGAGAGAUCUCUAGAGAGAGAAAGGAGAGUUUCUCUCCUCUCUCCAUGUGUGCGUGAGGUGUGUGUGGGUGUGCACGGCUGAAGGAGGAAGAAGAAGCAUCAUGCUUCUAUUUAAUUACACCCCAACACUAUUCACCUCCAGGCAGCUUAAAAUCUGAUAACUUUCGCCGGAGCUCCCUGAAUCUCCGUUUGAGCUCAAACUUGACAGUCAUGUUCGGUUUUACUUAACUUAACAAGCUGACGAUCACUGGUUCAGUUUCGACCCCGUUUGGUCACUGAAAACUGUACCGAACUGCAAUCUUUAUCAGAUAGCUUUCGGAUUUUAUUUCUCACUCUAUGGGUGUCAGAAAAAUAUGAAACCUUAAAUCUAGCCUCAUAAAAAUAUUUCUGACAUCUCCGCCAAUUUUCAUAAUUUUCUGAGACUGUGCAUUUUCUUCUAAUUUAUCUGUCCCAUUUCCAACAGAAAAUUCUAGAUCUUCUGUUUUCAAUCCGAUUUCAGCACAAGUCACUUCUGACUUAUGUUUUACUCCUACAAAUCCAAUAAAAAUAGUUUCUCACACUAUUUUUAUUUAUUUUUAUUUUUAUAUCAAAAUCUGGUAUGUUACAACGGUCCUAGCAGGAGGAAGCUGAGGGCCGGCGAUCAUGGAUUUGAGUUGUGAGUUAAUGAGGCGAUACCCCCGGGUUAGCCUUGAGAUUGAACAAAGAACAAAGAACAAAGAACCUCGACCAUGCAUUCUUCAUUAAUUUAUAUUGAGCAUCUUAUUGAUAGCAUUGUUCAGGCAUAUUAGCUGCAUUUGUAUAGUUAGCUACUUAUCUGCUUAUUCUUUCUAUUAUGCCUGAGUUAGACCUAGUGGGAAAGUCGGUAAGAUUGGGGCCGAACCCACUGGGAACUUUGUGGUAGUUCUCACCCCACUAUUUCCACAGAGCCGUGACCGAGCGAGCCGGCGAGCGAUCGCGGUAAAGGUAUCGCACCUUAGUCAGAGGCCACCAGAGUUGGGUUUACAUUUUGUAGUAGCAUUCCCUUACUUCAUCUUUUGUACUUGAAGAUGUUUAAAGUAAAGAAAAAGAAUGUAAAGUUUUAUUUUGAGGCAAUGUGAUGUAAAAAGAAAUUAUGCAAGCAAUAUAAAGAAUCAUGAAUUUACAAGUUGGAUGAAAUGGAUACAUGUAUGUGAUCAAAAGAGAAUCAUAGUACUUGAGUAGAUGUUUAGUUUCUCUUCUUUCACUCAUGGCUACUGCUUACCCUCAUGUAAGCCGUUUGUGUAUGUUUCCGCUAGUGCUUUUCUCUACUUGAAAAUGUACAGGUGAUGAGCCUUGGGCGGGUAGGGAAAACUCUGUCCGUUCGGCGUCUGUUUGACGUGCUCGGGCCGGCCCAAAUUGGUAUCGGUCCCGGGACGUGACAAAAACUCUCUCUCUCUCUCUCUCAGCUCCAGCUCUCUCUCUCCCCCUCCUAGGGUGGAAUCAAAAGGAGGGAUUUGUGGAGAAGGAAGCUUGGAAGUGAAGCAUCAUCUUCUUCUUCUUCCUUGGCUCAAGAGAGGAAAGUUUGUGAGGUAAGUUUUUAGAGCUUUAAUGGUGGAUUUCUAGGGUUUGAUUUUUAUACUCUAGAAUUAGUUUUGGAUGAACCCUUAUGCUACGUUUGGUUGAGGGAUAAGGGUAGAAUAAAGGGUUUAUUCCACCCUUAUCCCCCAAACACAAAUAAAAAAUGGUGGGAACACUAAUUCCCUCCUUAACAGGCUAUUCUAGAAUAGCCCGUUAAGGGGUGGGAACUAGUGUUCUCACCCCAAGGUGGAACAAGUUGGGAUAACCCAGCUUGUUCCACCCGUGAAGAGAGAGAGAGAGAGAGUGUGUGUGUGAGUGUGAGUGAGUGAGAGAAAUUUUAAUUUAUUAUAAAAUUUAAAUUUCGUAAGUUUGUAAAUUAAAAUUUAUAAUUUUAAAAUUAUAAAAUUUAAAAUUCAAAAUUUAAAUUGUUUAAUUUUAAAUUUUAAAUUUUGAUAUUUUAAAUUUUUUUAUUUAGAAUUUGAUAUUUUGUAUUUUUAAAUUAAAAUUUCAUCUUAAAUUUAAAGUUUAAAAUUUAAAAUUUUAAUUUUUUAAAAUUAUAAAUUUGAGAUUUUAAAAUUUUAAAAUUUAAUUUUGAUUUUUAAAAUUUAAAAGUUUAUAUUUUAAAUUUUAAAAUAUAAAUAUAAAAUAUAAAAAUUCAAAUUCUAAUAUAAAGAAAAGAAUAAUAUUGUUAUUUUUUAUUUAUAACUACCCACUUUAAUUCUUGUUACAUCUUACCUAACCAAACGCUAUUUUUCUUAUUUUCAGGAAUAACCCAAUUUUCAUCCAAACGCAAAAUUAAUCUCACCUCCGCUUAUACCUCAAUUUAUACCUAUCCCUGGAAUAUCCACUUUUUGCUUGUCCUCGAACCAAACAAUACCUUAGGUGCUAAGUAGAUGCUGAUUGCUUGAAUCCAAGGUUUAUACGGUGUAUUCUUGCAAUAGUAGCAUUCUAGGGUUCCAAAUGGGGUUUUGUACAAAAGAGAUCCAAGUUGGGAAUUGAUCUCUUUUAACCCUAAUUGGUAGGUAUUCUGAUGUGUUGGUGAACUCGGUUCGGCAAUCCAAUGAGUCUACACGGAGAUAUUGGAGAAAAGUCUGUUUUUGGCUCUAUUUUGCCGCAGCCGGGAGAAAUAGGCGUCUAAAAAUCACGAAACUUGAAUCGUAACUUCUCAGCACUCCUACGAGGUGGGUAGUGCUAUUCGAAAUCACUGAAUCUCCUUUUAUGUCUAAAUGUCACCUUUGAGCAUGUAUGUAUAUGUAGGAUUCAUGCAUUGUAGGGUUUAAAUGGUUAAUUGGCAAUAUAAUGAUAUAGCUUGCAUGCUUUUGAGUAUAAAGAUGCAUAUGAGUUGGUUAUGUGACAUGUAUAUGUGAUUGUGAACCCUAUAUAUGUAUGAAUUGAACUAUGAACCUAGUUGAGGUAAGUGGUGACAUUGUGGCUAGUGAAUGAGAGUGGACACUUAUGUGUAGUGACAUUAGUGGCAUUAGUAAAUAGUGAAUGAGAAUGGAACACUUAUGUAUAGCGGCAUUAGUGAACAAUGGCAUUCUAUUAGUGGACAUGGCAUCCUCAGAAUUGUGGAAUAAAUCAUACUCACCUGUAAGUCUUGGCUUGAGGGCGGUAGCUCCCUCUCGAGCGGUACACUCUAGAGUUGUCACCACUGGGUGUGGUUAAAGUCCCCCCAGAAGUCGGUCCCUCGGACGCGGUUAGAGUCCUCCCGAACGAUAGGGAUUUGGUUGGUAAGUCGUGGGGCGAAACCUCCUGGUUAGCCAAAGAGGAUUGGGUAUUGAGAAUUGCAAUCGACAUGCAUCCUGAGCAUCUUACAUCUGUUAGCAUUUGUUUCAGGCAUAAUAGCUGCAUUUGUUUAGAAUGGUUAUCUAUCUAUCUGUUUCUUCUAUCUAUGCCUGAUUUAGACCUAGUGGGAAGGCGGCAGGGUCGGCAGCCGAACCCACUGGAAACUUUGUUGUAGUUCUCACCCCACUAUUUCCACAAAGCCGGGGCCGAGUGAGCCGACCGAGGAUCGCGGUAAGGAUAUCGCGCCUUAGACAGAGACCUCCAGAGUAUAGUUCAUUCCUGUAUAUCACCUUUUGUUAUGAUGAAUAGAGUUGUAUAAAUGUGAUGUAUUUUUGGAUAAUCAUGUGAUAGAUGAUGUAUAGAGAAGAAAACAAGAGAAUGUAAAUAUUGUAUGCAUGUAUGUGAUCAAAGGUGUUCAUAAUACUUGUAUGGAUGUAAUAGAAUAGAACUUUCACUUUUAAUGUUGCUUCCCCUCGUGCAAACUAUUAUAUCAUUGUUUUCGCUGUGUAAAAAUAUAUAUAUGUUGUAAAUUGUUGAGCCUUAGGCGGACAGGAGGUGUUGUCCGUUCAGCGUCUGUCGGCGUGCCCGAACCGACCAAAUAGGCGGGCUCGGGGCGUGACAACUUCCAUGUCUAACAGUAAAAUAACUAUAUGAAGUUAUUUAUGGUUGCAUAUAGUGCAUGUAAAUCAAGGGUAUCUUAUUUCAUUAAUAAAUGGAUGCAUGUGUGUUAUUCUAGCAUAAUAUAUUAUGUGUCAUGAUUAUAUGGUUGAUUGCAUGAUGUUCUAGCAUAAUGUAUUUAUAACGCAUGAAUGAUUCUGUCACGCCCUGGGACCUAGCGGAAGCCCGCCCGGUGCGUGCCCAGACUCGCCAUAUGUUUAUAACAUACAAGGCGUCUAAAACAAAACGAUGAAUAAAGCAGUAGAACAAANCGUCUAAAAUAAAACGAUAAAUAAAGCAAGAUAAAGAGAACAUCUAGCAGUAUCAGAGCAAGUAUAUCUAGAUGCUACAAUAACCGAAAUGAACAUAAAGCUAAAUCCACUAAGUAAAAACAGGAAGUAGUACAAUAAACAUCCAAAGUACAAGUGCUAAACCGGAUACAUAGGAGGUCUCUCUAUACAAGGUACCAACAUAACUCUCUCUCACUCGACUACAACAAAAGGAGAGUGAACUACCAAAACGCAAAAGAAACGCUCCUUGCUAGCUAGCUAAGCGAUCCCCUUGCCGCGGUCCUGUGCCUCCAUCGGUGUAGAGGGCUCUGAAAUAAAACCAUAAAAACGGAGGCGUGAGAACUAUUAAAAAUAGUUUCCAGUGGGCAAUUACUGACUUCAGUGAAAUGCGCAACUAGGCCCAAAACUGAACAAAAGAGAGUAAGUACGAGAAUAAUCAAAAGGAAUAACAACAACUAAACAUAAGUACUUACUAAACCAUGAUGUCUCAACUCAGCAUGAACUUGCGUAAUUAAUAAAGCUACUAUAACAUGAAUGUACAUGAAUGUGACUAGCAUGUAUAAGCAUGAAUAUGCAACCAACGGAAUGUUCACAAUGUAGAUAGUAAAAUGUCAUUGUUUACUAUUCUAGUCAAAGUCCAAAUGGCAUGUUUUGUCACCAAGUUGCAAUCAUGUAAUACCCACCCGUAGGCUGUCUGGCCUGCGCCGUGCCUAAUGGUCCCGUGGCAGUCAACAUCCCCACUCUAGGAAUGAGCCUCCCCCACAGCAUACCAUUUCGGCUGUAAAGGAUUUUCUAGGUUGGCGAAUUUCGUGAAGUCGAAUGGAGUCUUGAAGAGUUGAUCGUGGAAGUUGGAAGAGAAGAUUCACUUUGAAGAAUCAAAGACUUGUUUGGAAAGCUAGACACCUCAGGUAUGAAUGUUAGAUUAUUUGUGGUGUGUUUAAACUAUCUAAAUAUAAGUUUAGAAGACUUGGAUUGCUAUAGAAAACUCAAACUAAGGUUUUCAAUGUGCUGGGACUGGUCCCCUGAGAUGAGAGACCGGUUCUCGAGAGUCCUCUUUGCGUGAUAGUUCAAGGCAACUGGUCUCCUGAUCUGAGAGACCGGUCUCCAGGGCGAGGCAACCGGUCUCUGAUCUGAGAGACCGGUUCCCAAACAUAGGAUUUUCUGUCACGCAGCGAGGGACCGGUCUCUGGCAUGAGAGACCGGUUCCCGAACGUUGUGUUUUCUGUCACGCAGCGAGGGACCGGUCUCUUACUCGAGGGACCGGUCUCCCAAAGACCAGUCUCCUCGAGAGGACCGGUCCCUGAGGACGACACCAGUUUUUAAAAAUAGACUUUUUGCAAUCCUAGUCUACUUCUAAGUCUUCUAAACAUAUAAAUAAGCCAUGGGGGUUAUCAUAUGGUUUAAGGCUUUGAAUUUCUACUGUUCUAAAACCCUAGAAACUUGUUUUCACAUUCUUAUGAUUUUAUUCAUAUAACAAGUUUCAUAUAAUCAACGAUCGACUUGAUUCUUCGAUUUUAACUCGAGAUAUUCUUCGAGAAUCAAGUAGAUGUUUGAUUAGAAGGUGAACCCUCAUUGCUUAUGGUGUUAUAAGUCUUAAUCACCACAAAUCAUCAAUUCUACAAACUCCGGAAGGAGGUUCGGCGCGUGGACUCGCGUGAAGCCGAGGAUUCGGUGGACGCUUUAAGGAGUUGAGGCGUUUGCGCAGUAAGGAGUUGCAGUGAGGUCGAUUAGAGGAUUCCUAUCGAUCGAGGACCGGCGAAGAUCAUCAACAACGGGAAUUCGGUAAAUUGAGUCAUGUAUUUUGGUUAAAUCACUUGUACUCAAGUUUUCUUAGUGGAUUUUCUUCGCGUGAUCGGUCCCGUGGGUUUUUCACUCCGGAUUGGAGUUUUUCCACAUUAAAAUCUCGGUCCUCUAGGUGUUAUUUACCUUUUAGAUCCUUGGGAUCCAUAUCUUACAAGUAGUAUCAGAGCGGGUAUAGGUUGUAAAUCAUAGCCGAGGGCGGUAACAUCAAUCGACCCCCUCUCUUCGAUGGCACUAAUUACGCUUAUUGGAAAGUCCGUAUGAGGGCGUUUCUUAUUGCCAUCGACGAGCGGGUAUGGCAAGCCAUUGAAUUCGGAUGGAAACAUCCCACCGAAGUUGUCGAGAAUGUUACCGGUCCGAAACCUAGAAAUAAGUGGACGAAAGAGGAAAACAAACUAUCUUCGUUCAACGAAAAGGGUAUCAAUGCUUUAUUUAAUGCUGUAAAUCAAACUGAAUUUUCUCGUGUCUCCGCGUGUGAAACCGCCAAAGAAAUUUGGGACACUUUACGAGUUACACACGAGGAUACAAGCUUGGUAAAGAUUCAAAAAUUACAAAUGCUUACAAGUAGAUUUGACUCUAUUCGUAUGGAAGAACAUGAAUCUUUUACCGAGUAUUAUACUCGUUUGCAAGACAUUGUAAACACGUGUGCUAACUUAGGCGAGAAGAUUUCGGACUCUAAAAUUGUUAGAAAAAUUUUGAGAACCCUUCCCGAACAAUUUCGUCCAAAGGUUGCGGCUAUUGAAACGGUAAAAUAUCCGAAUGAACUUAAGGUGGAAGAAUUAGUAGGUGCACUUCAAACGUAUGAGAUGACUUUUCUUUCUAAUUCGUCUUCUUCCAAGUCUUCUUCUAAAGCUACAGGGAUGGCUCUAAAAGUAACAAAAGGAGAUGACUCUACAACUUCAUCGGACUCGAAGUCGGAGCAAACCUUGGAGGAGUUUGAAAAGCAACUAGCGCUUCUAACGAAGAAGUUCCGUCGGAACUUUAGAAAGAAGUUUCCUCCUAAGUCCUCUUCCUCAAAGUCAAGUAAAUCUAAAGAGAGUUCUUCUUCAUCUUCCUAUUCUAAGAAUAAAAAGUCCGAAAGCUCUUCUAAAGAUUUUUCAAAAGAGAAGAAAACUAAUGAAGGUCAAAUCCAAUGCUAUAAGUGCAGAGGAUUCGGUCAUAUUGCAUCGGAUUGCCCUAAUAAAAAAUCCUUGAAAAAGAAAGCAAUGCAAGCCAUCACUUGGGAUGACUCGUCUUCGAGUGAGUCAUCUUCAAGUGAUGAGGAUGUUAACGCUACGGCACUUAUUGCACAUGACUCUUUUAUGUGUUUAGCAUCUACAAAUUCUAUCUCUUUGUCAUCUAUGCAUGAAAAAUCUACGUCAGAGAACUCAUCGGAUGAAGGAUCGGAUGAAGAUGAUAUGGUUGCCGCAUAUCAUCAAUUGGUUGUCGAGUUAAAGAAGACGGCCAAGCACAAUAAAAAAUUACGGCGAAGAUUGCUCGAAUUGGAGGAAGAGAACACGAAACUAGAGUCGCUAACCAAGAGUCUCGAGCAUGAAAAAGAUGGUUUGACUAAAUCCUAUGACUCUUUAUUUGAGAAGUGCACAUUGCUUGAAAAGGAAAAGGAGUCUUAUGUCGAAAAUAUCAAUUUCCUUACCAAGCAAUACACGGAAGCUAGAGAAGCAAAUAUAUGGAAUUCACCAAGACGAUUAUUCAACUGAAAUCGGAUUUAAAUCAAUUCUCGUCUGGCUCUAGCAAACUUGAUAAGAUGCUUAGACUUGGUCAAACAAAUAAACUUGGACUUGAAUACGAACGGACAUAUAUUGAUCAAGCAAUGAAGAAAGAUAACGAACAUUCUACAAAAGCGGUUCCUAAGCUUUAUGGUAAGUUUAUCCCUCUGAAAAACUCAUUUGCUAAUAAAAUUUGUCAUCUCUGUGGUGUUUUAGGUCAUGUGAAAAGGGUUUGCAAACAAAAGGCUAAAAGUCCCACUACACCCUUGGAUCGGAAGGCACAAUGAAAAUCAAAGAAGGAUGAUCCUAAAAACAAACAAACAUGGAAACCAAAGAAGGAAGAUCCGAAGACAAAUGCAAAGCAAACUUGAAAACGGAAGAAGGAUGAUCCCAAGAAGAAAAUUGCUCAAAUCGUCGAUGUCACGCCCCGGGACCGGCAGAGGCCCUCCCGGUAGCGUGCCCAGACCCGUCAUAUGUCAACACAUAUAAGGCGUCUAAACAACAGCGAAAAAAAAAAAUAAAGCCAAAGAUAAUCUACAUCUAGAGAUAUCAGAGCACAGAUAGAUCUAUCAUCUAUAACAAGGUAAAAGAAAAAAAAUACUAUAACAAUAAGAGUGAAACAUAUAGAUAUACAAUAUCUGUCCAGAAUAGUACACAAAAGGGUGGUCUCUAAUACACUGGUACAGCUCUCAACCUCUCCAAAAUAAAUACAUCGAAAGGUAGACCACCUACCAACUCGUCACUCGCUGAAGAGCUAGCUCGAAGCAACGUCCUUCCCACGGUCCCUAGCCUCUCCUGGCGUGGAAGGCUCUGAAAGAAAACAUAAAACAGAGGGCGUGAGAACUAUAAUUUAUAGUUCCCAGUGGGCAAUUACUGACCUCAGCUCAAUGCACCACUAGGCCCCAAAGAAGGGUAAGUCUAAAAAGAGAGCAAUAAUAAUGAAUAAAUUGCAUUUAUGAAAGCAUAAUUAAAAUGCGAAGAUACUACAUUGCAAUUAAACUUGGUGUUAAUAUGAUGCAUCUUUACUUGUCAUAAACUAUAUGUCCCUACAUGGCCACAAGUAAAUGUCACGGUUUACUUUAUGAAGUUAUGAAGAUCAUGCUUUAUCAUGGCAACAAUAUAUAUAUGAAUGCAAUAAGCAAUAUCUCCUAGCAUACUACAUGUAUGUAAGUAUACUCAAGUGUCCAAAACUAUGUUAGAAGCAAGUUCAAGUAAUCCAACUACUACUCUCUAUCUAGUAGUGAUUAUAACACACUCAACACCGUGUUGAUUUUCAUUUUCAAUUAAGAACCCACCCCAGCUUGUGCCGCCUAAGUGCCUGUGGUAGCCCAACAUUCCUGCUCUUGGAAUGUGUCUGUCCCACUCGACCCCGUAGGCUUCUCAAUACCGCACGAGCGAACAUAAGUCGCGUAGGCUAACUCCGGAGUGCUGGCUUGUAGGGAGCGACCCUCACAAGCAUGUGCGAAUGAGCACAAAUGGCAAGCAAGCGUAGUUAAAGGCUCAAGUAUCCAACCCUCAUGUCUCAAACAUGGCAAUAGCUACUAGUGGCCCAAUGGUCUAGCUCUAUGUCACAAUGUAAUAUCCCAACACUCACUUGCUUAGUGCCUCUUUAUGACACUUAAGCACCACAACUAAUCAAGCCCAAAUCAUGUUCUAUGUUCCCAUUUAAGACAUUAAUACCAAUGCUCACUAUGGUCGGAGCCCAAUGCCUCUUUAUGACAUUGGCCCAAAUUCUCAAAUAGUCUAAGUCCCCAAGCCUCUCUAGGCUUCCAAAGUCUCUAAUGUCACAAUUGGGCAUAAAGGUUAAAUGCACGAAAGCAAUGUUCAUUUUCAUAAGAGGAAUCAUGGUUCCAAGUCUCAACUAGAAUGCUAUGUCCCACAUGCAUGCACCCUAUCACAUAGAGGUCCAAAAAUUUACUAUAUAUAACAUAUGCAUGUUAAGCAUUCUAAAAUUCAUAAUAAAUAUAUCUAACAUGAUUAUGCAUGCUUUUUCAUUUAACGAUACUCAAAUCAUCACAAAUGAGAUUUUCUCAUUGUGUGGCUAGGUCAAACCCACCGAACCGUCGCGUAGUCCCUCGUUUCGCCGAACGGAGUUGUCCACGAGUCUCAAAAUACCCUAAAAAUAAUGAGCGAAGAGAUACACGGGCAUUACGAUUAACUAUAAGAUCAAACAUUAACCAUCAAGGCAAAAGGGCUAAAACUCACCUAAUGAGUAGAAAAUCUCUCUCAAGCUCCUAAAGAGAGCUAGAAUCCUUUCAAUCCAACCCAAAGGAAGAUUCUAACCCAAGUAAUCAAGCUCCAAAAGCGCUAAAUCCAAAAUGUCCAAAAUAAACCCUAAGUCUCCAUUCUAGGGUUUCAUCUCAAAUCCAACAACAAAACUCAAAUCUAGAGGGAGAGAAUGGGCUACCAACCUCUUAGAAGCUUCAAUCCAAGCUUAAAGUCCUCAAACUUCAAGGAUCUUCCCUCAACUUUGCUCCAAAUCCAAGCUCCAAGCUUCAACCAAGGUGAAGAAGCCUCUAAUCAAGCAAAAAGAGAGUUUAAUCUCAUUAAAACCCAACCAAAAUCAAGAAAAGGGAAUGGGAGAGUGUGGAGGGCUCCCUUACCCUUCUCCUUGCUGGUGCGAAGCAUAGGGAGAGCCCUAGGGGCGUGGGGAUACAUAUAGAAGGACACAAUUGCGAAAAACCCCCUGCAGUUCAAACUGCUCAGAUUCUGCCAAAGUGUACCGGUACACGGGAAAGUGUACCGGUACAAAUCCCACGAAAAUGCAAACCCGAGGCUCGAGUUUGAAAUUCGGCACAAGUGUACCGGUACAGCCAUUAAAAGUGCACUGGUACAAAAUGUGUACCGGUACAGCCAUCGACCUCUCACCGGUUACACCUCGUACAGAAUGCAAUCCGCGGGUAGGCUAAGUCCAACUCUUUAGUGAUCUUAGCGCUACAUAAAAUACUACAAUUCUCGGGAUUCGAACCAUAGGUCGGAACACUGUCAACGAUCCACCAGAAAAUCUGAAAAAGCUCAGGACACAGUCCAAACACUCGAACCUCGCAAUUUGCAAAGGUCCAGUGUGUUACAGUCGACAAACAACAUCUUUCUCAAUCAAGUCGGCCGACGCAACCCAAAACACGUAAGGUUUGGGUGCGCAAAGGUGAACUCUUUCCUUGUCUUGUGAUUCACAAUUCGCUUCAUGCUUACGACAACUCUUCUUGGUAUCUGGAUAGUGGUUGUUCACGUCAUAUGACCGGUGAUAAAAAUUGGUUUACUUCUUUAAAUAAUAUCUCCGGUAGACUUGUUGUUUUUGGAGAUGAUCGGUGUCACGCCCCGCCCCGAAACCACUACCGAUUUGGCACGAUUCGGGCGCGGCGAGCGGAGCGCCGAACGGACAGCACCUCCCCUGUCCGUCCAAGGCUCAAUCACAGGAAUGUGUACAAGAAUUUUUACCCAGGAAAUUAAAUUCUAAACAUGCACAUCCACAAGGGCACAACCAAUGCCAACAAUACAAAGAGCAAGCAAAUCCACAAGAUACACAUGUGAAAUAGAGAGAGUACUUUACUAACUAUUACAAUAGUUCCAUCAUUUUCAUUUACAUCAUUUUCUUUAAAUGAAUACAUUUCCAUUUCAAAAUACAUAGCUCUCCCUAAUCCUCACCUACAAUGAAUCUCUCUCAACACAUAGGUGAACUAAUACAAAAAGGAAAGCUACUAACUACCACGGUCUCACUGGUCGGGCGCGAUGCCCUUGCCGCGGUCCUCUCUCGGCAGCCCUGUACCUACCACUGGAAAUAGAGUGGGGUGAGAACUAUCUUCCAUAGUUCCCAGUGGGCUCGGCCGCCGACUCUGCCGAUCUCCCCACUAGGUCCAAGUGGGCACAAGCAACAACAGAUAGAUAGAUAGAUAGAUAUGUAUCUGAAAGCCGUAAAUGCAAUAGUAGGAAAACUAUGCUACUAUGCUCAUAAUCAUGAAUAUGAAUGCAUGCAUUAUAUAAUAAAGGUUGCUACCAUGCUAACAAAUUCGAUACAUGUUCGAAUAGUAAUGUUCAAUAACAUUUUUAAACCUUUACUCUUUCCAUUUACCCGAUCUGUGGCGAGGCCCUAAGGCUCACCUAUAACUCACCCUUCAAUCCCAAAGUGGGGAGGGAGCUCCAUGUGCACCCAAGCCCGGGACCGUCUGCGGACCUCCAUGUGGUCCGGACCUCCAAGUGGUCCUAGUCGCGCGACACUCCGGAGUACUCGACGACAAUCCCCUCCAUGUGGGGAUUGGAUGGCUAUACCAUCCCAAACGCAGACUGUGAGCUAGAUCUAUCCUCUCCAAGUGAGGAUGCCCUACAUCUAGGGUCAACAACUCAAUCAAGUCCUCUCCAAGUGAGGGAGCACUAUCACUAGGGUCCCCAACCCAAUCAAAUCCUCUCCAAGUGAGGAUGCCCUACCACUAGGGUCAAUGUCUCAAUCGACUCAUCAACAACCUCUCCAUGUGAGGCUACUUAGGUUUACUAAGUUCUUGUCCACAAGGCAUUUUCUAAGGGAUCCACCUAUCCCUAGGUUCUCAAACCUCUAGUGUCAUUUACACUACAUUAAUGCCACUCGUCAUCAUUUAACAUUUGGAUGCCACUCGUUUGUUCUUUAACAUUAACACUACUUUCUAUGUCAUCAACACCCCCAUCGGGUUCAUCUCUAUCUUUAGCAUCAUAGGAUCCACGUUCCGACCCAAUCCUCACCUAUCUAGUUACCAAGCGUUCCAAGUACACUAGGUUAUCAUUUAGAAAGCAUAAGGAAUGGAGCUACUAUGCAAUCCUACAAUGCAACAUGAAGAGAUGAGAUUAAAUGCAAUCUAAGACAUAGAAAGGAGUUCGAAAGCUUCGGGAUGGCACCCCCCACCUUUAAUCGAUGUAGAGGCUUCGGAAAUCCUUCUCGGCGAACUUUACGAAAAGGCUUUAGCCUUCCU